rnacentral:SRP_RNA from 1 species
UAUAAUAAUAGGGCUAUGGAAUCAAAUGGGCAGGGCAUGCGUAUGUCGUGUCACGCAGAGAUACGGGCCCUGUGCGGCGGGGCGCUGUGAAUCAUGUCAGGCGGGGAACCGAGCAGCAUUAAGCAGUCUGUUCCGUGCGCCGCAGGCAAACCUGUAUCUCUGCGUGACCGGGCAUAUGGAUCGACUGCCUAUUUUGUUAUA